UUAGGUCUACCUGUUUAUGACGAUUGAGCUUCUGAAGAAACUCACCUCUCUCCUUCGCGAAAUCACAGACGUGAAACGGCGGCGGUAAUGUUCUCUUCUCCGAUCAAUUUCUGAUCUCCACCGUGAACGACGCUACAAAUCGACAGCAUCAACUCUCAUCAUCAGUUCCCUCGCCUCUCUUCGACGUCGCUCCUCCCUUGAUCCAUCUCUCCGUCCAUCUCAACCUCCAUUCGAGCUUGAUCGGAGAUACUCAGAUUUGAAGACGUCGGCAACGAAGCUUUGAGACCUUGAAGAUUGUUGCUUCGAUGGUGUUUUAGAAAGAGUUGAGAAGAAGAUUUGCAGAGAAUCGAAGGUGGCGAUUUUGCAGAAUAUUGAGAUGAUGAUGAAUUCCGAGAGAGCAUUGAUGGUGAAGAAAAUCGAAGAGUGGAGUUGAGAAGGAAGAAAAGAUGAAGGUGUGAAGGAGAUUGAAGGUGGUGAAAGAAAGAUGAGGAUGAAGAUGAAGGUGAAUGAGAGUGGUGGAGGAGAUUGAAGAUGGAUGAUUGAAGAUGAAGGUGAAUGAGAGUGGUGGAGGAGAUUGAAGAUGGAUGAUUGAAGAUGGUGAAUUUUUGUGUGAAAAAAUGGCGUGAAGGUUGAAUCAGUGAGAGAGGUUCAGUUAUAUAGGUUGAAGAGGGAAGUUGAAUUCAGUUAGAGGGAGGUGAUUCUGAGCCUUUGGAUUGGUGAAGUUUGUUAGAGAUUGAGUGGUGCAGAUUGAAUCAGUUAGGAGUUUGAGUUGUGAGCUGGCAAAUUCGGUUAGGAAUUGGUUAUUGAUGUUACAAAACGGUUGAGAUUAGUUAUAGUUCUGAUUCAGUUAUUUAGAUUAGUUAGGAUGGUUAUGAAUCUGUUAGAGAUUUGGUUCAGGUUAGUGAUAGAAAUUAGUUAUGGGUUUCUGAAAUUCUGUUUUUGGUUUUUGCAACUAUUAUGUUAGUUACAAAGUGAUAUUGAUGGUGGUUAGUUCUGUUAUGGGCAGUUUGGGUUGGUUAAGGGGAAGUUUGAAAGUUAGAAAUUAGUUACUUGUAAUGAGAAUGAGGUUAGUGACUUGGUUCUUGGACUGUGUUUGUUUGGCAGUUAGUAGAUAGUUAGGUGGUUUAGAAAUUCUGUUAGGAUGUUAGAAAUAUGGUUAAUGACAGUUUGAAAUCGGAUCAGUUAUGAAUCAAUGGGGGCUAUUAGUUAGGUUUUGAAAAAGUCAGUUGGAGGUAGGUUGACAUGGUUAGUUGCUAGAAAUUUGUUGCUGUUUAAAUUGUGGCUGCUAGUGAAAGUUAGUGAAACUGGCUGUUAUACAUAGUGUGUUUAUGCCUCUGGUUUUGUUAUGAAACGGUUUGCAAGGCUGCAAAUAGAAAUCAAUAUGGAUGUGUGUGUAUUUGGUUUUAUUUCUUGAUUUUCUUGAAUGAGCUUGGUGUGAGAAUUGGCAGGUUUGGUUUGAUGUGAACUGAGCUUUUUAUUGUUGUAGGUUGCAGGUUUGGAAAAGUGCAGCAAUUGAAGGUUGAUGUGUGGCUGUAGUGUGCAGGGUGGCUGAAGUACUGUUGUGAAGUGAGGUUAGAAAUUGAUGCCGACAACAUACUUUAAAGAAUGGUCAGAGAUUACAAAGUGGAGUUUGGAGCAGUGAUUGGAAGGUUUAGGAACAAAGGAUCUCAUGUAUAGAAGCAAUGUAGUAGCAUGAUAUUUAGAUUUCUAGAUGUGUAUUCUUUGUGUAAUAUGACUUGGACCAUAAUGUAAUGAAUUUUUGAAUUUGUACUGAA